UUGGAAUGUCAUGUUAAGCCCAA
rnacentral:siRNA from 1 species